rnacentral:rRNA from 1 species
UACGGAGGGUGCAAGCGUUAAUCGGAAUUACUGGGCGUAAAGGGCACGCAGGCGGUUUAUUAAGUUAGGUGUGAAAUCCCCGGGCUUAACCUGGGAAUGGCAUUUAAGACUGGGUAGCUAGAGUAUUGUAGGGGGGGGUAGAAUUCCAUGUGUAGCGGUGAAAUGCGUAGAGAUGUGGAGGAAUACCGAUGGCGAAGGCAGCCCCCUGGGAAUAUACUGACGCUCAGGUGCGAAAGCGUGGGGAGCAAACAGG